rnacentral:tRNA from 1 species
CUGAAGAGGUAGUGUUAUCCAACUGAGAUUGUGUUGUCUGGGUCUUCCGGUAGAGACGAGAAGCUAUGGAAAGCGAUGCCACUGCUAUUUAUGUGCUCAGGUUUUCUCUGCUUAUAUUUGGCCUUCGUUAGGAAAAUGCCUCAAUUAAUUAAUUUGGUGCUCCGCUAGUCGCCAUGGUCGGAUGAUACUUCAGGGAAACUGAUGUUUAUCUACACGAUGGACCUGGCUAUAUUGCCUACUGCAUGUAUCGUUUACUGGGAACCAAAAUACUUGGACUGUGCAGCUCUGUUUGUUCCUGUGGUGAUUAGCCUAUUGUUUUUGGUUAUGGAAUUGCAGCAGCGAGCUAUCUCUUCCCUGUGUUUUACGGGUCAAGUCUUAUUCAACACCUAUGGGAAGGUUGAUUCUAUAACUGAAUGCAUAGGCUUAAAUCAGAGGAUAUAGCAGCGGAAGAACAAGUUGUAUGUUUGUCGAGGUGAUCUCUUCUUAUUUAUUUGACAUGAUAAAGCAUGGACCUUCUUGCUCAGGUUUCAGAUUUCUCAAUCCAUACUUUCGUGCAAAUAUCAAUUCUUGACUUGUUAUUCAGUAAUCUUGCACGUUUUCAUUUUCUCUAUAUAUCAUCAGUAUUAAAGUUCAUACAUAAUACCUUAUAUUAUUGGCUUUAGAACAUUGCAAAUCAGGGUAGGCGGUGCAUUUGGGAAAUUCAUAUUCUAUUCAAAGGCACUUCAUCGAUACAGUCAAAUGCUUCACAAUAGAAUAUGCUACUUCACUUUUUAGGUGUCCUAAGGUUUCAUAAUUCGUUUUUAUUAUCUAAAGCAGCAUGUUUUAUCAUUUUAGUUAGCAUUGCGCCAAUCACAAACCACAAAAAAUACACAUGCUCACCCAGUCACCCUUUGUAAAGAACCGCGCCUAUAUAUGUUCUGCUCUGUACUGAAUCUUGAUGCUUUGUACGGAACCAUAUGUAUAUGUAUACUAAUGGAAUACAUGCCCUGCAGUUAGCUAUCUUUGGUUUUUUAGCAGUCCUGUUGUGUUAUUUCCUUCGAAAUGGAUGAUUGGUUUAUACGUGUUUGAUUAUCUUCUUUGAACCUUACGCCUGACUGCUUAUUAGAUUGGCUUAUACAUGUUUGAUUCUCUGCUUUUUUUCGAGAAAACGCAAAUGGCCUUUGCGUUUCAUUGCAUUGGAAAGAAAGGGAAUUUACAUCCUCCUAGGAGGCAGGUUUACACAGUUGUCAGAUGAUCAGUGGACAUCCCAGGAUGAUGGCAAAACGACCCUGAGCCCUUGAGCCCCGGCCUUUGCCCAACAUCGGGCCUUGUCCUUGAUCCUGUCGACAAGCUCAUUGAGCGAUGGGCUCACAUGGUCAAAAACGCACGCGUUCCUAUGCUUCCAGAUCAUCCACGGCACCAAAAGCGCCACGGAUUUCAGCGCCUUGCGGAGCGCUGGCAGUGUGGAUUCCUUCGCGUGCAGCCACCAGUCCAUGAGCGAGUCGUCGUGCUCGGGCGCCGGUGCCGGUAAGCGCAGACAAGAUAGGAUCUCAUGCCAUGUUUGCCUAGUGAAGGGGCACGCGAGCAUCAAGUGUCUGAUUGUCUCCGGCUCUUGGUCGCAUAGAAGGCAUCGCGGGUGGUGCUGCAGGCCACGGCGUGCGAGCCGCUCCGCGGUCCAGCAGCGAUCUUGUCAUGCCAUCCAACGGAAAAAUUUCACUUUUGGCGGUGCCCGGCUCCUCCAUAUGAGCUUCCAGGAGUGGCAGCCCGUCGCUCCCAGGAAGGUUGCCCGGUAGCAAGACUGAGCGGUGUACACGCCGUUGGCGGUCCAGCUCCAGAGCAGCUUGUCCGGCUCGUUGGACAGCUCGACAUGCUGCACUAGGUGCCAUAGCUUCAGGUACUAUCCAAUCUCGGGAAGGCUGAGCAGCCCAUGGAUGUCGCGCGCCCAGCUUUUGACGGCCAAGGCCUCCGCCACCGUUCUCGAUUUCCGGCGAUGCUUUGGGAUGCACUGAAAGAGCAUGGGCGCUAGCUCGCGGAUGGACUGGCCGCCGAGCCAGCGAUCCUCCCAGAAGAGGGCGGUCGUGCCGUCCCCGAUGGCCAUGGUCGUGGAAGCGUGGAAGAGCGCGCGCUCUUCCGACGUAAAUUGCAGGUCCAGCCCCUGCCAUGCGUGAUCAGUGCCCGUACGCGCAAGCCAUAGUCAACGCAGCCGGAGCGCGAGCCCAGUGCGCUCGAGAUCCCGGACACCUAGGCCGCCAUAUUCGAGCGGGUGGCAGACCCGGCGCCAAUUCACGUGGCAGUGUCCACCGUGGGCGUCCGCGCGGCCGGCCCAAAGAAAACCAUGCUGAAUCUUCUCUAGUUGCUUCAGGGUUUUCUUGGGAGGUGCGAGCGCGAGCAAUUGGUGAAUCAGGACCGCGCUGAGCACCGACUUGACUAGCGCCAGCCGUCCGGCCUUGUUCAUCAGCCAUGCCUUCCAGGUAGGAAGCCGGCCUGCCACCGUGUCGACAAGGGGUUGCAGCUGGGCCGCGGAGGGGCGACGGGUGGUGAGCGGGAUGCCCAGAUAGGUGAUUCUCUGCUUUGAAUUGUAUGAUUGCCUGUUUAUUAGCCCUGGAAAAUGAAACGCUUCAAUGGUUGAUUAUCCUUCCACUUAGAUCAAAAGGAAUUUUUCCAAUAGAACUAUGGAACCCCUGAGCGGUUGCGGUUGUACCUGUACUGCAGGAAUAAGAAACUCACUAUUCACUCAGUUUAUUUUCCAUAAUAAGUUAUGUAGGAGAGAUGGCCGAACGGUUCAAGGCGUAGCAUUGGAACUGCUAUGUAGACUUUUGUUUACCAAGGGUUCGAAUCCCUCUCUUUCUGUUUUUCUUAAUUCAUCAACGUUAAGGAUCACAAUGUAUCAAAUCAAAUAGCAAUUUUCUCCAGCAAUAAUAUCUUAUAUUAUCUUACUUUUAUUUAAUAGAAAUUAGAAAUUCUCUAUAGCAAAUUACUGUGGUAUGUAAAAUUCUAUAUAUGAAUCCCUUCAUGCACGAUAUUGAUUGUACAACGUUGAUAGUUCGUGUUGUCCUGCACAUGACUGGCUCCGGACUGUAAAUUGAGAAGUGUUAAUAUAGAAGAAAAGGUAAUGAUGCAUUCAGUGGGAAGGUUCUGAUAAGAUGUAUUCAUGCUUUUCAAUGGCUGAUUUCUAAUGUAUGAGAGGGGCACCUGUACUUAGUCCAGGCCAAAUCGUUGUUUUUAGCAUAAAAUCAAAUGUAUCUUUGCAGUAUUCCUGAAAAAUGGUCUUACAUUUUUUCCCCUUGGUAUUUAUUUACUGUACUGUAUCGGCUCAGUUGAGACGAGGUGAACACGUGAUGACCGUCAUCAGGUCCUUCGUCACAACACCUGAGCGGGCGAGAUGUUCAAAGUUAAAUUAAACACUAUUAUCUCAUAUGCUGUGGAAGAACCAUAUAUGUCGUUUUUCCUGACAACUGUUAGCACUUGCUUUUGGUAUAUCAUGUUAUCAAUUCUGUGACAUGCUUAAAAGGAUGUAAUGAAAUGAACCCUGCGUCUUUAUUUGAUGAAUUCAGAUGAUGAAUCAAUUGUCUAUAUUUUGUUUUAUCUGUCUGCCAUCUCGCACCUCUAAAAUAUAAAUUGUGUAUUACCGGGCUGGCUGGAUAUGCACCAGCUAUGCAGCCUUGCCGAAUGUUUUAUGUUAUGAAGGCAUCAGCAUGGGUGUUUGUAUUUACAAUGCCUCCUUCACACUUAAUCCACCAUCAAUGAGGCAAGUGCACUCCUUUUUGUCACAGAAAAUCAAGUGAAUGUUGCAUUCACAAACCAAUUAGCACGUUUGGGUUGUAGAUACUGUGCAUUGAUCCCUACAUUUGUAACCAAUUCGUGUUUGAUUGAGUUUACUCUCUUUCUCAUGCUUUGUGCUUCCCUAGGUCGGGCAGCUCCGUGGGGACAUGAAGCCGAUGGCGAAGGCGUGAGGCGGGCAUCAUCAUUGUGGAGUUAUUUGUGCAAGUUACACCAUCAGCAACCAUGUAAAGACAUUUGCAUCAGCUAUCAUCUCAAGUAGACCAUUUCCAUGCUCUAAGUUAACUAUUGUUUAAAUUGUGAAAAAUCAAAGGCUUUUGUGCCUAUUAGUUUGUUCUAUCCUGAGCACAUGUGUUGUGUUCAAUUAGCAAAAUGUUACUGUAGACCACAAUAACUAUGCAUGCUCAUACAUUGUGCCUAUACUUAGCAUAGUAAUAUAUGAGAUAAUCAAAGCUGCUAAGGAGGAGCUCCUCCCGUGAGUCCGCCGUUGUGGCCAGAGUGAAAAGUACCUUGGAAUGAACAG